rnacentral:tRNA from 1 species
GUCUUCAUGGUGCAACUGGACAGCACGUUCGAUUGUCAAGCGGAAGACCCAAAGUUCGAAUCCCGGUAAGGGCA